GACAAACGCUGGCGGCGUGCCUAAUACAUGCAAGUCGAACGCAGUGGGGACGGGUGAGUAACACGUGGGUAACCUCCCAUCAGAGGGGAUAACACUUGGAAACAGGUGCUAAACCCAUACCGUUGGAUGGACACGCGGUGCAUUAGCUUGUUGGUGUGGUAACGGCCUACCAAGGCCACGAUGCAUAGCCGACCUGAGAGGGUGAUCGGCCACACUGGGACUGAGAAACGGCCCAGACUCCGACGGUAGGCAGCAGUAGGGAAUCUUCGGCAAUGGGCGAAAGCCUGACCGAGCAACGCCGCGUGAGUGAAGAAGGUUUUCGGAUCGUAAAGCUCUGUUGUUAGAGAAGCGGGAUCUAACCAGAAAGCCACGGCUAACUACGUGCCAGCAGCCGCGGUAAUAC
rnacentral:rRNA from 1 species